rnacentral:rRNA from 1 species
UGGGGAAUUUUGGACAAUGGGCGCAAGCCUGAUCCAGCCAUGCCGCGUGCAGGAUGAAGGCCUUCGGGUUGUAAUCUGCUUUUGUACGGAACGAAAAGACUCCUUCUAAUAAAGGGGGUCCAUGACGGUACCGUAAGAAUAAGCACCAGCUAACUACGUGCCAGCAGCCGCGGUAAUACGUAGGUCCCGAGCGUUGUCCGGAUUUAUUGGGCGUAAAGCGUGCGCAGGCGGUUAUAUAAGACAGAUGUGAAAUCCCCGGGCUCAACCUGGGACCUGCAUUUGUGACUGUAUAGCUAGAGUACGGUAGAGGGGGAUGGAAUUCCGCGUGUAGCAGUGAAAUGCGUAGAUAUGCGGAGGAACACCGAUGGCGAAGGCAAUCCCCUGGACCUGUACUGACGCUCAUGCACGAAAGCGGGGGGAGCAAACA